rnacentral:rRNA from 1 species
CCUACGGGGGGCAGCAGUGGGGAAUAUUGCGCAAUGGGGGAAACCCUGACGCAGCAACGCCGCGUGAGUGACGAAGGCCUUCGGGUCGUAAAGCUCUGUCGGAGGGGAAGAAACUAUCUAUGGCUAACAUCCAUAGGUAUUGACGGUACCCUCAAAGGAAGCACCGGCUAACUCCGUGCCAGCAGCCGCGGUAAUACGGAGGGUGCAAGCGUUGUUCGGGAUUGUGGGGCGUAAAGCGCAUGUCAGCGGCGAAAGCCCUCGGCCUAACCGAGGAAGUGCGCCUGAAACUGAUUGGCUUGAGUACGAGAGAGGAGGACGGAAUUCCCAGUGUAGAGGUGAAAGUCGGAGAUAUUGGGAGGAACAGCGGUGGCGAAAGCGGUUCUCUGGAUCGAUACUGACGCUAAGACGCGAAAGCGUGGGGAGCAAACAGGAUUAGAUACCCGAGUAGUC